rnacentral:rRNA from 1 species
UACGUAGGGUGCAAGCGUUGUCCGGAAUUAUUGGGCGUAAAGAGCUCGUAGGCGGUCUGUUGCGUCGGCUGUGAAAACCCGGGGCUCAACCCCGGGCCUGCAGCCGAUACGGGCAGACUAGAGUUCGGCAGGGGAGACUGGAAUUCCUGGUGUAGCGGUGAAAUGCGCAGAUAUCGGGAAGAACACCCGUGGCUAAGGCGGCUCUCUAGUACGGUACUGACGCUGAGACGCGAAAGCGUGGGGAGCGAACAGG